rnacentral:lncRNA from 1 species
UCUAAAGGAUGCUAGAAUUAUUGCAUUAUAUCAUAAUUCUCAGCUAAAAUCUUUCCAUUAAUAUUCUUUGAAAUGUACAACCCAAAUUUAGCCCAAUUACAGACCCAAAAUACAAACCCAAAUAAAACCUAAACCAAAACCUACCCAAUAGAAGCCCAAUUUACCCAAAACAUACCCAACCCAAACACACAACAAAAGAAAAAAAGCCAAGGAAACCCUAGCCGUUUAGCUGCUGCCUCCCUGUCCCAUCCACCGACGCCUGCAGCACUGCCCCACCGACGUUCAAGUUGCACCCCUGCAGACAUUAAAGAGACAGGACAGAAAGCAAAAAAGAAAGAAAUGUAAUGGCUAUUUAAAAGCCAAAUCCAAAAACUGUAAAGACAUUCGGGCAUUUUCAGUAAAAAUAAUAAGCAAUAUUAGACCAAAAAACAAAAACAGAUCAAAAACAUAGGCAUAAAGUCGCAACGAAAAAUCGAAGGGAGUUCAAAGAGCGCAAGGCAAGGUUUAACUAUUCUCUUUCGGAUCUAUUUUCUAAGUAUUUUUUUGUUUGAUUUAAAUUAAAAAUAACAUAUACAUACAUAUUCAUAAGCACUAAAAUACAGCAAAAAAAUAUAAAAAAAAUCAUACCGAGAGCGAUUUCCGGCCACCGUACACGGCGGACGACACGGCGGCGGACGGUCGGCUCCUCGCCGGUUUCUGGGCUUGCUGCAGAGAAAGGAGAAAGGAGAGAGGUUUUCAGCUUUUUUUUUGCUGGAAAGAAUGAAAAAUGAAGUUUCAAAAAAAAAACUUGACUUUUAAAGGCCCCCGGUACGACGUCGUUUUGAGGCGUGCAUUCAGCACCCAAAACGACGUCGUUUAGCGACCCGAUCCACGACCCGACCCGUCUGCCCG